GACAAAAAUUAUCCUUGUAACUAUUAUCUUGACCCAACAGGAAAAAUAAUAAAUUAUCUUUUAGGAGUUGGAGUUGUGGAGUGACCAAAAUGCCGCUCCACACAGCUAGUUCGUUUUUUAGGAGCGAUCUGGCCUACUCCGCUCCACUUUUUUUUUUUGAGCUAGACCGUUUGGUUAGGUGUCGGUGAUAUGGGACCGGGAGUAUCGUGA
rnacentral:misc_RNA from 1 species